rnacentral:lncRNA from 1 species
UUAGGUCCAAAAAUUGGGCAGUGAAUGUUGGCCAUGGGCCCUAUGAGUUGAUAAUUCUCUUCACAUUUUUGGAAGUUUUUGUUGCUGUCUUGUUGUGGAAGAUGGAGCUUUAUUAGGCAUUGGUAUUUGGACAUGAAAGGCUCUCCCAUUGACACCUAGUAAGAAAGUUAGAAGUUUUGUUUAUAUAGACUUGAUACACAUUUAGGUUUGUUUUUACUUUAACCCAAUUGGGAAAACUAUUAAGAUCAAAGAUUUCUGCCAACAAUAUUCUUGUUCUUUCAUAAGUUUUUUUUUGGAGAAUUAAUUAUUUGACCAAUUAUUAAUUUUAAUAAGAUGAUGAAUUUUUUUAUGUUUGUGCAAUAUGAUAUUAAAUGACUAAAAAACACAUAUUUUAAAAUAUAUCAUAUUGAUUCUUAAGUACCACUCAGUGCUAACAUGUCAUUUAUUUAUUUAGGAAAUGAUUUCAAAUAAAU